AACGAACGCUGGCGGCGUGCUUAACACAUGCAAGUCGAACGAGAACGGGUUAUAGCUUGCUAUAAUUGUCAGCUAAGUGGCGCACGGGUGAGUAAUGUAUAGGUAAUAUGCCUCUUACUAAGGGAUAACAAAUGGAAACGUUUGCUAAUACCUCAUACUCCUUAUUAACAGAAGUUAAUAAGGGAAAGAUUUAUUGGUAAGAGAUUAGCCUGUAUUGUAUCAGUUAGUUGGUGGGGUAAUGGCUUACCAAGACUAUGACACAUAACUGGUUUGAGAGGAUGAUCAGUCACACUGGAACUGAGACACGGUCCAGACUCCUACGGGAGGCAGCAGUGGGGAAUAUUGCACAAUGGACGAGAGUCUGAUGCAGCAACGCCGCGCGGAGGAUGACACAUUUCGGUGCGUAAACUCCUUUUAUAUGAGAAGAUAAUGACGGUAUUAUAUGAAUAAGCACCGGCUAACUCCGUGCCAGCCGCCGCCGUAA
rnacentral:rRNA from 1 species